rnacentral:rRNA from 1 species
UACGGGGGGGGCGAGCGUUAUUCGAAAUGAUUGGGCGUAAAGAGCGUGUAGGCGGUUCGGUAAGUCUGCUGUGAAAUCCUGGGGCUCAACCCUGGGCGUGCAGCGGAUACUGCCGGGCUAGAGGGUGGUAGAGGCGAGUGGAAUUCCGAGUGUAGCGGUGAAAUGCGCAGAUAUUCGGAGGAACACCAGUAGCGAAGGCGGCUCGCUGGGCCACACCUGACGCUGAGACGCGAAAGCGUGGGGAGCGAACAGG